rnacentral:rRNA from 1 species
AUGCAAGUCGAACGAUGAUCAGGAGCUUGCUCCUGUGAUUAGUGGCGAACGGGUGAGUAACACGUGAGUAACCUGCCCCUGACUCUGGGAUAAGCGUUGGAAACGACGUCUAAUACUGGAUAUGAUCACUGGUCGCAUGGCCUGGUGGUGGAAAGAUUUUUUGGUUGGGGAUGGACUCGCGGCCUAUCAGCUUGUUGGUGAGGUAAUGGCUCACCAAGGCGACGACGGGUAGCCGGCCUGAGAGGGUGACCGGCCACACUGGGACUGAGACACGGCCCAGACUCCUACGGGAGGCAGCAGUGGGGAAUAUUGCACAAUGGGCGAAAGCCUGAUGCAGCAACGCCGCGUGAGGGAUGACGGCCUUCGGGUUGUAAACCUCUUUUAGUAGGGAAGAAGGGAGCUUCGGUUCUUGACGGUACCUGCAGAAAAAGCACCGGCUAACUACGUGCCAGCAGCCGCGGUAAUACGUAGGGUGCAAGCGUUGUCCGGAAUUAUUGGGCGUAAAGAGCUCGUAGGCGGUUUGUCGCGUCUGCUGUGAAAUCCCGAGGCUCAACCUCGGGCUUGCAGUGGGUACGGGCAGACUAGAGUGCGGUAGGGGAGAUUGGAAUUCCUGGUGUAGCGGUGGAAUGCGCAGAUAUCAGGAGGAACACCGAUGGCGAAGGCAGAUCUCUGGGCCGUAACUGACGCUGAGGAGCGAAAGCAUGGGGAGCGAACAGGAUUAGAUACCCUGGUAGUCCAUGCCGUAAACGUUGGGCGCUAGAUGUAGGGACCUUUCCACGGUUUCUGUGUCGUAGCUAACGCAUUAAGCGCCCCGCCUGGGGAGUACGGCCGCAAGGCUAAAACUCAAAGGAAUUGACGGGGGCCCGCACAAGCGGCGGAGCAUGCGGAUUAAUUCGAUGCAACGCGAAGAACCUUACCAAGGCUUGACAUACACCGGAAACGGCCAGAGAUGGUCGCCCCCUUGUGGUCGGUGUACAGGUGGUGCAUGGUUGUCGUCAGCUCGUGUCGUGAGAUGUUGGGUUAAGUCCCGCAACGAGCGCAACCCUCGUUCUAUGUUGCCAGCGGGUUAUGCCGGGGACUCAUAGGARACUGCCGGGGUCAACUCGGAGGAAGGUGGGGAUGACGUC